rnacentral:rRNA from 1 species
GACGAACGCUGGCGGCGUGCCUAAUACAUGCAAGUAGAACGCACAGUUUAUACCGUAGCUUGCUACACCAUAGACUGUGAGUUGCGAACGGGUGAGUAACGCGUCGGUAACCUGCCUGGUAGCGGGGGGUAACUAUUGCUAACGCUAGCUAAUACCGCAUAAUAUUAAUUAUUGCAUGAUAAUUAAUUGAAAGUUGCAAUUGCACCACUACUUAAUGGCCCUGCGUUGUAUUAGUUAGUAGGUGAGGUAACGGCUCACAUAGGCGACGAUACAUAGCCGACCUGAGAGGGUGAGCGGCCACACUGGGACUGAGACACGGCCCAGACGCCUACGGGAGGCAGCAGUAGGGAAUCUGCGGCAAUGGGCGAAAGACUGACCGAGCAGCGCCGCGUGAGGAAAGAAGGUUGUCGGAUCGUAGAGGUCGGUUGUAAGAGAAGAACGGGUGUGGGAGUGGAAAGUUCACACAGUGACGGUAUCUGACCAGAAAGCGACGGCUAACUACGUG